UAUUUCAAUCAUUCAACCCCAACAACUGUGGUUGUACGCCGGGCCGGCAACACCAUUAUUUUGCCGUUGCGUGUAUGCCACCUAUUUCGGCACUGCUUUAGUAAUUGGAUUUUGAUCCGGAGCCAAAAUUUUGCUUAUUGUUUUAAGUUUUGCUCCUUGUCAAUUGAUUGAUUUUCCACUUAUCUGUCAAUCAUCUCGCUGGCGCGUCCGAUUGCAAAUGGAUGGGCGAGAUAGCUUUCUGUGCAAAGUAUCCUACCGGGUCCGCUUCUGGUAUGUUUUCACGCCCGUUAACGCUUAGCGGGUCGGGUUCAAUUUUGGUCGAGACUCCAUUUCAACUUUGUGUUUUCAUGACCCUUCUCCUCCUCCUCUACCGUUUGUUUGAUUUCUGGCGAUUUUUGUUCCCCUCCUCACCAAAUCGAGGGUACUGAGGCUCGAGGGACAGCGAAUUGGUGCUGGAAGUGUGCUCCUCGUCGGCAGCCGCAACACCAGGGAUACAGCUUUUUAGUUGUACCAUGAUUAGAAGGGAACAAAAGUUUAUCAUGGCUGCUAGAAGGUUUAUGUGGGUGCCCACAUAGAGCACACUUUUUUUCCCUUGAUGCUGACCCUCUAUACCAUGGAAGCAAUAAAUUUGUCGACUAUUCCAACUACCUUUGAAUGAAGUAGUGGCUCCCUGUCCCUCACUCCCUAUGUCCCUUUUUCUCCUCUCCAUAUUUCUCCAGCCAGAUCAAUCUCUCUGUUUGUGUCUGUUGUUAAUCAAUAUUUUUUGUCCUCAAUUUGAUAUUUUAGAUAAAUGUAUCUUAGAUAAAUUAGAUACAAGACUAGUUUAAAAACUAAAUCACUAAUGGUUUAUUAGAUUUUACACCAAUAUGUAGCAUGUAAUUUUUUUGUCAUAUAAUUUCAUGUAUAAAUAUGCAUGUUGUUGUAUUGCUAUCAUUUCCUAUAUCUUUUUGGAGCAAAAACUUGCUUAUAGUAUGAAGAAAUUGCGAUAGAUUUAUUUUCUAAUUGCUGCCAUUUUAAUUUCUUCUAAUGAAACAGGUGACCAUAUUUUGGGCAUGGUCUCCUGUUAUUUCUGGGCCAUCGAGUUCAAGUGGACACAACUCUUGCAAAAUUCGGGAUCAGCAGUGUCAUCAACAUCCAUGCGCAAUAUAUGAUGCAACAUUUUGUAGUCAUUUUCUAUGAAAUAUUAGGUAUAUAUGUUGCAUGUUUUGAAUGUGUGAAAUGGGUGUAAAUUUUGAAUAGUCAGUGAGCUGGCUAUUUCUUUUUUUCAAUAUUUGAACAUCAGUAACUUUAAUCAACAGCUUCUGCCAUUUUUA